rnacentral:lncRNA from 1 species
AACCCUCCCCGAUCGAUCAGCCCUUCGCAGUUACCUUGCUAGCUCCAAACAGAUACACCAACAUACAACCCUUCACAUCACAGACUACCCAAAAGACAAGUGAAGCAAGUACCUUGCACCAAACACUUGCUAACCUCUCCGAUGAGAAGGCACGGCAGCGAGGCUUCCCCUUCCAUCGUCCACACAUCUUCCAUAGCUCUCCUCCAAGAGAGGUUCAGGAACCUGCAGAAGGUGAAGGAGAUGAGGGAAGGAAGAGAGUUGCAGAAGGUGCACAGUACUGAUGCUGACCGUACCAGCUCCCUGUCCUCGGCUCUGAACCUUGGCCUGCAAGUGGCGAACAGCACCGAGCGGCCAAGGUGGUUCUUGCAUCCGGACUUGAUCCGGCCGUCUAGGCCCCUGCGCGGUCCGGUGUACCAUGGGCUUGGCGCCAACGGUGGCCAGACUUCGCCGCCAGCAGCAAGCUCGUGGGGAGGAAUGCAGAAUUCAGGCUAUAGGAGUGAUGUAGAUGUCGAUACCUCUCUUCAUCUGUAAUCUACUAUAAGCAUGUAUGGCCCUGCUGUUCUUUUCGUUAUUUUGUAUGGCUUCUGAGUUCUGGGCUUAUUUGCAGUACUUCUGUUGCAUUUUGGCCUUGUAACUUCUUUGGGUAUUUUACUAUAUAUGAGGCUUCCUAGAUAUACAU